rnacentral:lncRNA from 1 species
ACCUCCCCUGUCCCCUCCCCAGCUGCUGGAGCGCCAGGUCGCCGUGGUGGCCACCCUGGGCAAGCUGGUGGCCAUUGCGACUACGCCGUACAGGGGCAUGCUGCUGGGUGGGACCCCAAGGUCCCUGCACGAGGCCCUGGGGACCUUCAUCGAUCACCUCAGUGGGACCCUGGGCUGCUGCAGUGUCACCUCCCUGGGCCACCUCGAUGUCAAUUUCCAGAACCGAUUCGCUUUCCUGCUGGGCCUCUACGGUGCCACCCUUGGGCGCCACCACCAUGUCACCACCCUGGGCCAGGCCCUGGCCAACCCGGCGGCCACCUGGGCCGAUGUGAGAGCUGCGGCCAGCGCCUGGCGGGAGUCGGUGGAAGCGCUCACAGAGAGCUGGUCCCGGCUGGUCGAGGAGGCCGCCAGGCUCUGCAACGAGUGGGAGGUGACGGCCACCGAGAGGGGACGGCGGGCAGAGACACCCCUGGGGCUGCUGGAGCGCCUGGUGGCCGAGUGUGACAGAGCCACCGCGUUCCCCCUGGAGCUGCAGCGCCGCCUCGGGGACAUCGAGUUAGCCCUGGAGGAGACAAGGGAGCCGUGUCCCGAUUUCCGCGUGGCCUUGGUGGCCGCCGUGGCCGAGGCCGAGCGGCUGUGGAAGGCCAGAACCCACCUGGCCUCGUGUCACCUGCAGGGGAUACUUGGGCAAAUCCGCGGCAUCCUGAACAGUUUCGUUUGCGGCCCUGAGGGCCCUGCUGCCCGCAUGGUGGCCGAGCGGUGCCAGAAAGCCAUCGAGGACAUCCCGAGGCUGCUGCAGGAACUGUGAUGUCACCGCUGCAAUGUCAUCGGUGAUGUCACUGCGGACAUCAGAGGUGUCACUCGUCCUCUCCACCCCCUCCCCGUGUGGGAUUUGAAACAAGUUUGGGGAAUUUCCUGGGAAUUUUUAUUGAAAUUGCUCCAAAUCCUGAUGGGAAUUCCUGGGGUCACAUCACUGGGGACACUCAGGGCCACUCAGGGACACUCAGGGCCACUCCGUGGCGGUUUGGGAGAUGAAUGAAGCAGCUUUCCA